UGGGGAAUUUUGCGCAAUGGGCGAAAGCCUGACGCAGCGACGCCGCGUGAGGGAUGAAGGUCCUAGGAUUGUAAACCUCUGUCAGGAAGCAUUAAAUGCACGGGUAUCAACACCAUCCGUGCUUGACUUAACUUCCAGAGGAAGCCCCGGCUAACUACGUGCCAGCAGCCGCGGUAAUACGUAGGGGGCAAGCGUUACUCGGAUUUAUUGGGCGUAAAGAGAAUUAAGGCGGUCAUGUAAGUCAGUGGUGAAAUCCCCCGGCUCAACUGGGGAAUUGCCUUUGAUACUGCGUGACUUGAGGACAGGAGAGGAAGGCGGAAUUCCCGGUGUAGCGGUGGAAUGCGUAGAUAUCGGGAGGAACACCUGAGGCGAAGGCGGCUUUCUGGACUGGUCCUGACGCUGAUAUUCGAAAGCUAGGGGAGCAAACAGG
rnacentral:rRNA from 1 species